rnacentral:rRNA from 1 species
UACGUAGGGUGCGAGCGUUAAUCGGAAUUACUGGGCGUAAAGCGUGCGCAGGCGGUUUUGUAAGCCAGAUGUGAAAUCCCCGGGCUCAACCUGGGAAUGGCAUUUGGGACUGCAAGGCUGGAGUUUGGCAGAGGAGACUGGAAUUCCCGGUGUAGCAGUGAAAUGCGUAGAGAGUGUGGAGGAACACCGAUGGCGAAGGCAGCCCCCUGGGUCAAGAUUGACGCUCAUGCACGAAAGCGUGGGGAGCAAACAGG